AACCACGGACGGCCGUGGUGCUGACCCAAUACCGGCGGGACGGCCCGC
rnacentral:ncRNA from 1 species